rnacentral:rRNA from 1 species
GACGAACGCUGGCGGCGUGCUUAACACAUGCAAGUCGAACGGAAAGGCCCCUUUGGGGGUACUCGAGUGGCGAACGGGUGAGUAACACGUGAGUAACCUGCCCUUGACUUCGGGAUAACUUCAGGAAACUGGGGCUAAUACCGGAUAGGAAUCCUUGCUGCAUGGUGGGGGUUGGAAAGCUUCGGCGGUUUUGGAUGGACUCGCGGCUUAUCAGCUUGUUGGUGGGGUAGUGGCUUACCAAGGCUUUGACGGGUAGCCGGCCUGAGAGGGCGACCGGCCACAUUGGGACGGAGAUACGGCCCAGACUCCUACGGGAGGCAGCAGGGGGGAAUAUUGCACAAUGGGCGGAAGCCUGAUGCAGCAACGCCGCGUGCGGGAUGACGGCCUUCGGGUUGGAAACCGCUUUCAGCAGGGGCGAAGCUUGUGGUGACGGUACCUGCAGAAGAAGCACCGGCUAACUACGUG